GCAGAGCAAAGUCAUCCAGAAAGGAGCCAGGACAGAAGGGGACUAUAGUUUUGAGGAAAGAGAUAACAAAGAUUCUGGGCUAUUAAAACAAAACCAGUGAAUGACAAAGUGCAGAAUGGAGCAUAAGAAUGGUGUUUGGAGAAUGUGGGUCCAGGAGACCCAGGCAUAACAGUUUAGACAAAUAGAUGGUUCAAGCUCUGGUGUUUAUAAGGGCAGUGGAGACAGAUGAGAAGAGGGAAGGCAAUCCUAACAGCACUUAAAUAUCUCUUCUAAGAAUGUGGAAAAUGUUUCUGUGAGCAGAAAGAAAUCCAGCUCAACGAUGCCCACCUUGGAUCUGCCUCAACACCAUUUGCAGAUACAACACAUUCCCUUCAAACC
rnacentral:lncRNA from 1 species